rnacentral:tRNA from 1 species
ACCAGCAUGGCAUAGUGGUCUGAGUGUUGGACUAUGACUCUGGUGACCAGGGUUCAAUUCCCUGCUUGGCC